rnacentral:rRNA from 1 species
UUCUAGUGGCGGACGGGUGAGUAACGCGUGGGUAACCUGCCCUAUACAGGGGGAUAACAACCAGAAAUGGUUGCUAAUACCGCAUAAGCGCACAGGACCGCAUGGUCCGGUGUGAAAAACUCCGGUGGUAUAGGAUGGACCCGCGUUGGAUUAGCCAGUUGGCAGGGUAACGGCCUACCAAAGCGACGAUCCAUAGCCGGCCUGAGAGGGUGAACGGCCACAUUGGGACUGAGACACGGCCCAGACUCC